rnacentral:misc_RNA from 1 species
GAUGAAGAACGCAGCGAAAUGCGAUAAGUAAUGUGAAUUGCAGAAUUCAGUGAAUCAUCGAAUCUUUGAACGCACAUUGCGCCCCCUGGUAUUCCGGGGGGCAUGCCUGUUCGAGCGUCAUUUCACCACUCAAGCCUCGCUUGGUAUUGGGCAACGCGGUCCGCCGCGUGCCUCAAAUCGACCGGCUGGGUCUUCUGUCCCCUAAGCGUUGUGGAAACUUUCGCUAAAGGGUGUUCGGGAGGCUACGCCGUAAAACAACCCCAUUUCUAAGGUUGACCUCGGAUCAGGUAGGGAUACCCGCUGAACUUAAGCAUAUCAAUAGCGGAGGA